GCUCCAGUAUGUAAAUGUGUAAUAGAAGCCAAAUAUGGAGCAGUUGGCUGCCGCCGCCGCAGCUCAAGGAUCCGACUUCAUGGGGGGGUGGGGGCACCCUCUGGCAGGCGGCCCGGCGAGCCGCACAGAGCACGGCGAGCGCACGGCGCGGCGGCCGGCCCGCGCCCUUAACCCUUCGCUGCGCGCGGCCCCGGGAGGCGGACCCCGGGGAGGCCGGCGCCGGUUCCAGAGCCGCUGGGGAGCCGGGAGCGGGAGGGGAGACCCGACCCGAGGAGACGUUCCUUCCAGGUCCGAAAAUCUGCUUUGGGCAUUGAACUAGUGGGCUUGACGACUCGCGCGCUCCUCUAGCAGCUAAUUCGGGAUCAUUAAUUUAAUCGGAAGUGAGGUAACCCGUGUAAGAGAUAGAGAAAGUAAACCGAGCAUUAAAUGGCAGUUUUCGUGAAUCCACGCAGAACUUCUCUGGCCUCAAUUGCUAAAUGUGGUCCAUAACUCCCCCUCCACCCCGCCCCCUGUGUCAGUCCAACCGCCUAGGCGUGAGCUGCAAUCCUCUUUGGAAUGCACCUUGCCAACAGGUGUGGCACCUGGAGGAAAAGAGGACACAUCCCUACUAGGGUCGCUCAGUGUGGCAUUCUCUCUGCUGCAGAUAGUUCUGGAAGGCCAGUAGGUGUCAGGGCAGCAUUUGACCUCCUUCAGGUGCUUAGAACCAAGCGUCUAGAAACCUGAUCCCUCCGUUUCUCUCGGGAAGCCGCCACUAUUGACUGUAAGCUGUAUUGGAGAGACCUUUUGGCUGAGUCUGCUUAUGACCUAACAGUUAGUCACCAACUGAAGCAGGAUACAGAAUCAGUAAGAGAAAUGUGUCAGCUUUUAAACAACUCUGUAGUGUUAUGAGCCAAUGCGCUUCAGAAAUAAAAAUAAGCAUACUAAUGAGGAAGGUGUAGAACCCCGGAAAUGUUGCUUCUCACAUUUUGGAACGCCAUGCACAUAUACAUGGCUACUUCAAUAGAACUACUACUGCUCGCUCUCCCUCGUUUCUACAACUUUCUUUUUUUAAUUUUAAAAAAAAUCAGUGAUUGUUAGGUUUAAACCUCGGGUUCUGCUAAAAUGACAUUGUUGGUCUCAUUACAGCCUCUAGUGGACGGUUAACAUCAGUUUCCCGUAAAGGCUCUGCCUGGUUUUGUUUUCGUUGACUUGCUUUAUCAAGGUGAAGGUUAAUAGUUCAGAACAAAACCGGGUAAUACACCACCACCCCCCUCCUUGGGCUUUGCCACUUCUGAAAGGAAUAGAAGCUUGUUGACUCAGCAUAGAAGAGGUAUGGGUUGUGCGGCAGGUAUUAUUAUUAUUGCCGGCCUGUGAAUAAACAGAGCUUCUGCUAUUCGUUUGAGUUUCAGACAGCUUUCAUAAAAAAAAAACCCUCAAAUUCAUCUAAAAUAUUUUUAUAACAGAAAAUAUUGGUUGCCAUGUUUUUGGCUUCUCUGAGAUGUUUUUAUUCCAACUCAUAAUCUGCAAACUGUCCAAUCCACCUCCACUCUAUUUUUAGACAUCUUACAUUUAGAGAAUUUUCAGGGGAAUAAAAGCUAAUAUUGUAAUUAUUACAUUGGCACACGCAGUUAAUUUAUGUUAUUUUAACAACCUUAAACAUAUUAAAACACAUAAUUCAGAUUAGAGUUAGUCAAUUAAUUUAAAUGUUCCCUCAAGGAAGCCAAAUAUGUAUAUUACCCAAACAGUAACAACAAUUAAUAAGAAUUAUGACAUUUGCUUUCUUAGCCAUUAAGAUUAAAGCCAUAAACUGUCAUUAAAAUCUAUAACUAUUUCUUACUGUGAGAAGAAAGAUUAUCUUACCAUGUAGUAAGACAGUCUUCUCAGAAACCUGACCUUAAGUACAUACUAGGAUAAACCAGCCUUUGAAAGGAAAGGAAAUUGGGGGAUGAGGUCUUUGGGGCCUUCCUCCUCCCUGUGUUUUAGAUGGCUUAAACAACAUGGAAAAUAAUUUUAAUCCCUUUUAUCUAUUUUGUGAAUAUCUACUUUUGAAGGUUUAAAAGGGGCCAACAAGUAUGUAUUAGAAUAUAUUAUUUUAUGUUACACACUUACUUUUUAACAGGCAGUACUCAGAUUAGCAGCUGGGGCACCAAUAUCUGAAAGAUUUUUUAGAUUUUCAGAAUUAAGGGUUCCCCCCACCAGGCCUGUGAAAUCAGAAUCUACCUUUCAGCCAGCCUCCCAAGGGAAUUCUGAGAAGAACAUUGGCUUAUACUACAGGGCUCUGUCUAGAUUAAUUUGGCCAUAGAUGCAUAACUUACUACAUCUAUUUUUCCCCUUUUUUAUUAAUUAAUUUUUAAAAUUAAGUUUUCUUAUUUUUAAAAAAAAUCACAUUAGUCAAAUCAUUGCAACCUCAGUCUCAACCAACUGGGGGUGAAAGAAAAAAAAAUGUACUGAACAGGUUCAGACUUUUUUUUUCCUUGUCAUUAAUCCCUGAACAAGACAGUGUAACCAUUAUUACAUUGCAUUGACAUUGUGUCCAAUAUUAUAAAUAAUCCAGAGAUGAUCUGUAGUCAUAGAAGGACAUGCUAAGGUUGCAUAUAAAUACUGUGUGAUUUUAUAUAAGAAACUUGAACAUCCCAGAAUUCAGGAAUUGAAGAGGGGUCCUGGAACCCAUCCUCCCAGCCAAGGGAUGACUAUAUAUGCUUUGUAGAAAUAGGACGGUAUUCCAAAAGGGCCCUGAUUCAUGCACAUGUACACAUCAUCAUUGCCAAAGGAAACUGCCAAGUAGCUUGCUGGGGUCUUGAACAGGAACAUUUUUUUUCACAGCAGCAGAGGGAGCACAAGAGUUCUCAAUGAAACCAGGCCCUUUUCAAAUCGCUACAGAUUUUAAAUUGUUGUGUAUGUUUUCAUGGAAGGUAGCAUGUUAUAUAGUUCAAAACAAAGCAAAAUAAAACAAAACAAACAAGCAAAUUCAAAUAGCUUACCAGUUUAUAACAACUAAAUAAUCGAACAGAUUGUAAGUUAAAUAAAAUAAAGAUAUUAAGAGUUUUAGGCUUGAAUUCUUAAAAGGACUUCAAAAGUCAUGUUUAGAAAAGAUACCUUGGCUUUUCUCUAGUCAAAAAUUAAAAAUAAGGCAACUCUAAGAAGAGUGUAUCUGGAAAUGGAGUCAGUCCCCCCAACACUGCAUUAGAUAAAUUAAACAGAAGCCAAACAUGGGGGUGAAAGUUUGUGCACUUUUUACAAACUUUAGGGCAUUUGUUCUUAAUGCUUACAGUAGUGAGAAUUUAUGUUUCAAUUGUAUUUAUGUAGCAUUUUACACUUUUUACAGCUCUUCCUUAUUGCAUCUUUAAAACUUCAUGGAGGUGGAGAAGACACAUAUUACAAUCCAGGCCUCAAAAAAAGUAUGGGUUCAGAUUCUACUUUCCUAACAUGGAGUCAUUGAGUUGUUCCAAUAAUCCCAAGGUGUUUGCAAGUGGAGGGAAUCAUAAAGGGUGCUGGGGAUCAAACCCAGGGCCUCAUGGAUUCUAGGCAAAUACUCUACCACUGAGCUAUACCAUGAGUCCCUGUAUAUAUUUCUUUUCUUACGUUUUUAUUGGUGCAUUAUAAUUAUGCAUAAUCAUGAGAUUCAUUGUGCCAUAUUCAUACAUGUACAUAAUUUGAUCAAUCUCGUCCCAUUCUUCUGCUCUACUGAUUUCCCUUCUGCUAUUAUUUUUUUAAUCAGUGCCUUAUAAUUAUAUAUAAAAGUGGAAUUCAUUGUGGUAUGUUCAUGUAUAAUUCUAACGGACAGCACUGGUAUAGAUAAUGGGUCUGAGGAGACACAGGAAUUAGCUCUAAAUAUCCAUAGUUGAAGACUUUAGAAUCCUAGCAUGGCUCUCUGCAGUAGUGCAUAGAUAACUUAGUUAUUUUUUCUACUUUUCUGUGCACCAAUAACCUGUGUAAUGUGGUGCUUAUCUCCCCUUAUAACAAUCACUGAAGGUUCACUGUGGGUAAAUGCACAAUCUAUCCAUUGGGGGAUGGGAGAUGGGCUCAUAAAAAUAGAACAAAAAUUUUCAAGCUCAUCUGUGGCUCAGUCUUUAUGAGAGGGCUCAGGUACUUUGAACCCCUGGGAGGCAGAUGCAAAACCUAUCUGUUUUAGGAAGCCCAAGCAUUCUAGCAUUAUAGCUGGCUUGGCUGCUUGUGGCUAAAUGGUUUGGGGCUGAUACCUUCUAGUGACAGAUGGCUUUGGACAUUGAUAAUGAAAAUUAUAUAAUUCGGGGCUGGGAUGUGGCUCAAGCGGUAGCGCGCUCACCUGGCAUGCGUGCGGCCCGGGUUCGAUCCUCAGCACCACAUACAAACAAAGAUGUUGUGUCCGCCAAGUACUAAAAAAAUAAAUAUUAAAAAAUUCUCUCUCUCUCUACCUCUAUCUCUCUCACUCUCUCUUUAAAAAAAAAAAAAAGAAAAUUAUAUAAUUCGCUGCUUAACUAGAAAAUGCAUCCAGGCCAUUAAAAGGAAAUCUAUUUUAUUUUCCCUUUUUUUUUAAAAAAAAAUGUAUAAUUUAUUUAGUACAAUGGGAUUCUUUGAAAGGAAAUGAGUUGAUUUUUUACCAUUAUUUAUUUUGCAAGCAAGAUCUAGAUAAAUUUUCAUCAUGAAUCUCUAACCAAGACUGAAUAUCAGGCCGUGGCCUAUAAAAUAUCAUAAUUUAUGACCUUAAUCAUCUAAAGAAUACAGUUCUUCCUACACGAAAACCAACCACACUUUAAGCUUUAGAAUGGGAGAGUUGAAUUUUGCUACUGGCCGGGAGCAUUUGAAAAUCUAUAUAAAGCAUUUCAUUAACAACUUGGCAUUUUGUUUCCUCAAAAGAAAUACAUUUCGUAAAUUAAAAUCAAAGCCAAAAGCCACCAUUGUUUGAACUUAAGGUAGUGGUGGUUGAUGGGCUGUAUAUGCACUAAGUGUUGGGCGCCUCCAAGAGAGAAUCAUGGGCAACAACAGAGUACAGAAAUAAACACUAAAUCUUCAUUCAAGGCGGGAAGCAACAUUCUACAUGUUUCUAACUUCAUGACGUGGAAAUAGAGGGCUGUAAGCUCUCUUUGCUACUUUAUUUUUCUUAAGUAAAUAUUAGCCAUGAGAAGCUAAUCCAAAUGAAGGUCAGAGUUUAAGAACAUCAUUUUACGAGGAAUUUACUAAGUUUGCCCCAAAGAGGAAGAGUUGGAGAAAAAUGCCUGGGUAAACUUUGCCUUUUUGACAUGAAUAACUAGAGUUCCCAGGAAAGUGCCCAUGUUAGGAUUUCAGGGCGGAGCCACAGGCAGUCUGGUAUUUGCAGAACCUUCCCAUCAGGUCUCCACAAAGUUUAACUGCAGGGAGGAUUGGGAAGCUUCACGGCUGAGGACCAAAGAUACUGAUUUUGCUUUGCUUUUGCAGCACAGACAUGAAACGCUAGCUACUGCCACAGAUGCCUUCUGCCAGAGCAGAAUAAUAGUACUCACACUUAAACUGUAAAUGACAAACGACCCCUUUUUAAGUACAAAAUGAAUGCACAGAAUGGAGGACCCUGUCAGCUAGAAUGCCAGUAAAUCAAGUAGAAGAAGACAAAUCACUCCCUCACGCCACUCCAGCCAAAUUUUUAUUCUGCAAACUGUACUGUCACGGGAGAGUUUUCCUUAUUGGUCAGAUAUUAAGAGAAAUUAGUACACUGUCAUUGUAAUAAAUACACAAGGCAUGGAUGUGUGGACUCUGACAGGCAAUCAGAUCAAGCGAUCUGUUUCCCACCCCUACCCCAGCUCUGGCUUAAAAGCUGGAGCUUAAAUACCAAUAGUAGGAGCAUGUGACCCCAUGACUCCCAGGGGCAGCUUUUCCUGCAGUCAAUUUCAUAACUGCAUGGCUCCGCCCCUCUGCUCAGCACUUCCUUUCUCCUCCGCUACCCUCUCCCCCACCCCAGCAAUGAAUCACCAUGCCUUUAAAGAGACUGAGAUGACCCAGCCUGAACUCUGCUGGCAUCCUGUAGGUUCUUAUGCCAAAAAAAAAAAGGGAGUUGUUCUGUGACAGAAGCCUCGCCAGACCCUGGUGCAGGCUCGGAGGCAACAGGCUUGGGUGCUUCUCUGGGCAGAUCAGCAAGGAGUUAAUUUUCCUAGAUCAUGGUGAUGAUUCAGAAUUGCAUAUCUCAGUUCAUGAUCAGGUUUUUAAGAACCCAGUUUGGCCCUUUGUGCAGAAAGGAAUAUAUCAGAGAAAAAAAUGUUGGCAGAUCUCCGUAUGCAAUCAGGGCAGAGGAAUUUAUACCACAUUCAGCCCUUUGAUUUCUCCAGAACUGGCCGAGGGUGGGGUUUCCAUAUUUGUGCUUUGGCAAAUGUGUCCAAUAAUUAACUCCUCCAGAUAUACGCUCCUGGAGUGAUUGGGCGCUUAUUUGUGCACUUAU